rnacentral:misc_RNA from 1 species
UUCUACUCCCUUUGUCCCAAAAUAUAAGGGAUUUUAGGUGGAUGUGACAUAUUCUAGUACUACGAAUUUGGUCAGUAAGGUUGUCUAGAUUCAUAGUAAUAUGAUGUGUCACAUCCACCCAAAAUCGCUUAUAUUUUAGGUGUCACGAGC